AUUGAGCGCUGGCGGAAUGCUUUACACAUGCAAGUCGAACGGCAGCACGGACUUCGGUCUGGUGGCGAGUGGCGAACGGGUGAGUAAUGUAUCGGAACGUGCCCAGUCGUGGGGGAUAACGUAGUGAAAAUUACGCUAAUACCGCGUACGAUCUAUGGAUGAAAGCGGGGGAUCGCAAGACCUCGCGCGAUUGGAGCGGCCGAUAUCAGAUUAGGUAGUUGGUGGGGUAAAGGCCCACCAAGCCAACGAUCUGUAGCUGGUCUGAGAGGACGACCAGCCACACUGGAACUGAGACACGGUCCAGACUCCUACGGGAGGCAGCAGUGGGGAAUUUUGGACAAUGGGCGAAAGCCUGAUCCAGCCAUUCCGCGUGCAGGAUGAAGGCCCUCGGGUUGUAAACUGCUUUUGUACAGAACGAAAAGGCUUCUACUAAUACUAGGAGCUCAUGACGGUACUGUAAGAAUAAGCACCGGCUAACUACGUGCCAGCCGCCGCAGUAA
rnacentral:rRNA from 1 species